rnacentral:rRNA from 1 species
UACGAAGGGGGGCUAGCGUUGUUCGGAAUUACUGGGCGUAAAGCGCACGUAGGCGGAUAUUUAAGUCAGGGGUGAAAUCCCAGAGCUCAACUCUGGAACUGCCUUUGAUACUGGGUAUCUUGAGUAUGGAAGAGGUAAGUGGAAUUGCGAGUGCAGAGGUGAAAUUCGUAGAUAUUCGCAGGAACACCAGUGGCGAAGGCGGCUUACUGGUCCAUGCUGACGCUGAGGGUGCGAAAAGCGUGGGGGAGCAAACAGG